rnacentral:misc_RNA from 1 species
GAUGAAGAACGCAGCGAAAUGCGAAAAGUAAUGUGAAUUGCAGAAUUCAGUGAACCAUCGAAUCUUUGAACGCACAUUGCGCCCGCUGGAACUCCGGCGGGCACGCCUGUCCGAGCGUCAUUUCAACCCUCAGGCCCCCCUUCGCGGGCGGGCCUGGUGUUGGGGCCCGGCCGCUACCCUGCGGCCGUCCCCUAAAUUCAGUGGCGGCCUCGCCGUGAUCCCUUGCGUAGUAAUGCACCUCGCACCGGAGAGCGCCGUGGCCACGCCGUAAAACCCCCAAUUUUCAAUGGUUGACCUCGGAUCAGGUGGGAAUACCCGCUGAACUUAAGCAUAUCAAUAACGGAGA